rnacentral:lncRNA from 1 species
UGUCCCCUUUUUGGUCAUUGGUGUCCCCUCCUCGUCAACGGUGUCCCCCCUUGGUCAUUGGUGUCCGUUCCUUGGUCAUUGGUGUCCCCUCCUUGUCAACGGUGUCCCCUUCUUGGUCAUUGGUGUCCCCUUUUUGGUCAUUGGUGUCCCUUCCUCAUCAACGACGUCCCCUCCUCGUCAGUGGUGUCCCCUCCUUGGUCAACGGUGUCCCCUCCUUAGUCAAUGGUGUCCCCUCCUCGUCAACGGUGUCCCCCCUUGGUCAUUGGUGUUCCCCCCUUGGUCAUUGGUGUCCCCUCCUUGUCAUUGGUGUCCCCUUCUUGGUCAACGAUGUCCCCUCCUUAGCCAAUGGUGUCCCCUCCUCGUCAACCGUGUCCCCUCCUCGGUCAUUGGUGUCCCCUUUUUGGUCAACGGUGUCCCUCCUUGGUCAACGGUGUCCCCCCUUGGUCAUUGGUGUCCCCUUUUUGGUCAUUGGUGUCCCCUCCUUGGUCAUUGGUGUCCCCCCCUCAGUCAUUGGUGUCCCCUCCUUGGUCGGCCAUGUUCUCCUGUCCUUGGUUGACCAUGUCCCCUUCCUUGGCCAAUGGUGUCCCCUUCCUUGGUCAACCGUGCCCCCUCGUGGCCACCUGGGUCCUUUUGCUGGCCACCUGUGUCCCCCGGGGCCGCGGUGGCCGGAGCUGUUUGUCACCCGGCCACCUGGGUCCCUGAUGGCGGUGGUGGCACCACAGGCGGUGUCGGGGAAGUUCACGCCCAUCACGCAGUGGCUCUACUUCGACGCGCUCGAGUGUCUCCCCGAGGAGAACAAGGAGACGCUGCUCACCGAGGAGCAGUGCCGCCCGGUGAGCACCCGCGGGGGCACCCUUCGGGCGUGGGGGUGGGGGGGUGGCACCCGUGGGAGACCCCUGCUUGGGCAUCCUCUUGGGGUGGGCGUCACCCACGGGGAAGCUGUGGGUUGGUGUCUUCUUGGGGUUGGUCAGCUCCUUGGGGAUGGCCACCCAUG